AUGCUAUUGCAUGCUUCUUCGCCUAUGACCGGCAAAGCACAAUGUAUAGGAUGUUUGGACAAAGAGCUACAAGGAGAGCACUCUUCAACGAUGGGAAUAUCCAAUGAAGCUGCAAAUUGUUGGGUGUAUGUAUAUGUGUACCGAAGUUCAGUUGAAUCCUGUGGGAAAAAAGAAGUAUUGGGACUGCGUAUCCAAGCAAUUGAUGUCAUGGACUCCUUCAUAGAACCUUGUAAGCGAAAAAGAAGUUGCCGUGUGCCUGUACAAAGAGCUAGCGAUCCAACUGAAACUCCGUUGGCACAACAGAUAUGUUUUCAGAAACUUCCUUGUUUACCUGGUUUGUUGACUUGCUGCUGUAAUCAUCUUACCAACUUCAAGUUUUCACGUUCCAAUUGGAAGUCCAAUUGCACAACAGAAACUCCAAUGCCACAACAGGAUCCAAGAGAAACUCCAAUGCCACAACAGGUACCUUUUGGAAAACCUUUUUGUUUAACUGCUUUGCUGCUGCAACAACCGGUUACAAUAAUGUCAAUAACUACUUUUCAGCAUCCAAUUGAAACUCUUUAA
rnacentral:rRNA from 1 species